AGUAACACGUAGGUGACCUGCCCUGAAGUGGGGGAUAACUCAUCGAAAGAUGAGCUAAUACCGCAUGUGAUCACCGGUUCGUUCCGGUGCUCAAAGUCGCAAGACGCUUUAGGAGGGGCCUGCGGCCGAUUAGCUAGUUGGUGGGGUAACGGCCUACCAAGGCUGCGAUCGGUAGUUGGUCUGAGAGGAUGACCAGCCAGACUGGGACUGAGACACGGCCCAG
rnacentral:rRNA from 1 species